AAAAAAAAAAAAAAAAGCUAGAUAAAGAAUAAAUAAAUGGGAACACUCUGUUCUUUCUGACGUUUCUGCAAAUCUAACAUUGUUCCAAGUUUUGAAAUUUAUUAACGAAAAAUGAGAGGAGGCUUCCAUGAAGUAUGUAGAAUGCUGAAGGAAUACUACUCCCAACCCUACAGCAACAACAACACUGACAAACUGUAGAUUCAUGACUUUUCUCAGAUCCUUCAGAGAGCCGAAAGGUUGCAAGGCAACCAAUUAAUCCAAAAGUCUAAGGAAAGACAGAAAACUCAAAGGAGAAACAAGAUGCAAGUGCUUGUUUACUUGGGGGCCAAUGCUAACAUUUAGCUAAAAAUUUUAACAAUUGUGUAGAAAGCCAAGCAUAAGUUGGUGCAACAGAUGAACCCCUGGGCUACAGACACAAGGAGAAUGCAGCACAAUUUACAGGCUCGACCCACAGACCUCCUGUGUACUCACAAGAUAAAGAAAAAGGAAAACACACUGGGGUCAGGGAAGACUGGAUGUAGGCUUGCGGGAUGGAACAGCAGCCCUGUGGGAAAGGCUCAGGGCCCAGCCCACAUCCUUCUCUGUACGUUUCCUAUGGAACAGCAGCCGGAAACUGAUGAACAGGGGCAACAAAACCCUGCUAUCCAUGGGACACGGAUGAAUACUCGAUGAGGCUGGGCGAAGAGAACAGGGAAAAACUCUUAGUGAAGGCAGGAAUACAUCCUGGGCAAGACUUACAGACAGAAGCAAGGCAGAAGCAGAGAAGGCUCCACCCCUGAGAUUCUCCCUAAGAAUAAAGACACUUCCCUUCCUUCUCCUUCUACCACCGAACUAGCGAGAGUUCAGUAACAAGUAUCAGAGAAGUACAGUGGGGGGAAAGGCACAAAGAGGAGAGCCACUCCGAGGUGCCAUGUGAAAAUGCUGAGUGUGAAACAGACACUGAGGAAAAGCUCUAUCGGGAGGACGUCCCCAGCCUACACACAAAGUAAUGCAGCUAUAGAAACCUGAAGCUGUGAGAAAAAGCACAUGAGCAAAACCCAAAUCCAGUGCACCUCCUGAGUGGACUGACUCAACUCCUCAACACCAAAGGCUGAGCAGAAAGACAAGUCUAUCCAUUUCCAGGUAUCAAGACACCUUGCCUCCAUUUCUACUGUCUUACAAAAAAGCCCUAGCAUUCGGCAGAAUCUUAGGAAGUGUGACAAAGGCAAGAUAAAGCACAAUCUGAAGAGACAAAGCAAUCAAAAUUUCCAGACUCAGACAUGGCCCAGAUGUUGGAAUUAUCAAGCAGGGAAUUUAAGAGAACCGCAAAUAUAAUAAAAUGAUAAAGGUUCAAGUGGAAAAAGUGAUUAAGCUUUAUGAUCAGACAGAUAUUCUAGCACAGAGAUGGAAACUAUGAAACAGGGUCAAAGGGAAAUAUGAGGAAUGAAACACGCAGUAGCAGAGAUGAAGAGUGCCUUCAACUGGCUCACCAGUAGACUUAACACAGCCAAAGGAAGAAUCUGUGAACUCAAAGAUGGGUCAACAGAAAUCAUCCAAACUGUAACAAAAAAAGAAAAAAGGGAAGGGGGUGUAAAAAAAAAUUUUUUAAAACAAUGAAUAAUGCAUCUAAGAACUAAAGAACAGUGACAAAUGAGCCAACACAAACAUAACUGGAGAAGAAAGACUGCAGUAGGAAUAAUAUUUAAAGAAAUAAGAGUAAAGAAAUUUCCAAAAUUAAUAACAGACACCAAAUCAUAGAUCCAAGCUCAGAGGACCAAUCCAGGUAAAAUUUUUUAAAUGACACUCAGAUAUAUGAUACUUAAACUGCUGCAAACCAAAAACAAGAAGAAACUCAUGAAGGCAGCUGGAGAAACAGACACAUGACAAGUGUACAGAGCUGAUUUUUUCAGCCCUCGUGCCACUGACAGCUAUAUUCGUAGGGGCAAAAAAGCAAGGGACCACUGUGCAUAGAAUGCCAACAUCACCCAACAGGCAGCUAUCUUCAUUUGCUCCAUAUAUACAAUGCCCACAGCAGGACACAGAAGAAACUCCACAGCAGUCAUCCAUGGCUGGGGUGACUGGACAGCUGGGAGAGAAGUGGGAUGGACACUUUAAGGUAUAAAUUCGUGAUUUUUAAAUUUUAAUUUUUUUUGUAAAAAGUCGAUAAACCGUAUUACCAACUUAUUCUGUCUUUUGGAGACCUACAUACAAUGACCACAAUUCUGCCCAAAUUCACCACACUGUUUCAGACUAAACAGACCCUUUGAAAACACCAAGCUUGGUUCUCAAGGGUGAGCUAUAACAGGAUAAAGGGUCACUGUUCAUCUCAUUCCAUUCUGCUUCUGUCACCCCACACAUGCCCAGAACAGGAUGCAAUGUCCUAAUACAAAAACACCUAGAAGAGGCAUGUGAAUAAACAAUGCUCACACCGGGCACUUUACCAGUUGACUGUGAAGAACAAACACCUAGAAGAGGCAUGUGAAUAAACAAUGCUUGCACCGGGCACUUUACCAGCUGACCGUGAAGAACUCUUCCUUUACCAUGAGCUCCAGCUGCUGCCCAGGACCCCUAGUGAGGGGAGGGCAACAGGAGAGGAGGGAAGACAGAGGGAGGGAGCCAGAAAAGAAGAGGAAGGCCUGUGCACGCGAGCUAAGCUUCUGAGCACAUGUCAUGCUGUCAUGCACGGAAAGAGAAAGCCCAAGUAGUCCUGGAAACUAGAACGCUACACAACCUUUUUUAAUUUUAAAGAACUGUAAACUGCAGAGCAGGAGGAUCAUUAGGUGGGAUUUUGGCAGAUGAGAGGAAGGAAAACGUCAUGAGAAUAAGAACGAAUGGAAGCAGUAACCCUGGGGGCCUGUUGGGUACACGGGCAGUGUUGGGCGGAGGAGCAAGGAGACCAGAAGGGUGGCUCUGAACUGGAAUGCCAGAAGUCUUUUGAAUUCCAUGCUAAAGAUUUAAACUUUAUUCUGUAAGUAUGAGAGAAACAUGGUUCCAUGAUUAGGACUCACUCCAUCUCCACCAAGAACAGAGUUCAACAAAGGGGCAACUUCCAGCAUGAGGGAGGAGCUGGUGAGAAGCACACAGUGGGCUUCCGGUCCACCAGUCAGUUUAUUUUUAAACUGGGUGGUAGGUACACAGGUGUUCAAUGUACCUGUAUUAGUGUUUCUGCUGUUUUGUGUGUCUUACAUAUUUUAGAAUAAAUUUUUCAAGAAACUGGAGAGUAUACUCGUAAAGACUUAAAAGGAAAUGGCUGCUAAUGGUGCUAGGUUUUUAUUCAGGGCAUUUUUGUUUCUGCAUCUUGUCAUCAUGGAUUAUGCAAGAUUAUAAAUUAGCUAAGGCUUUUUAGAUCUGCCUUGUCCAUAAGGAUUAUCUUUUGGUCAUGACAUUAUUUAUUAAUAUCUUAAAAAGAGAGGAAAGAAACAAAACGAAGUUGUUAACCCAACAACUUUGCAGACAAAUGUACCUAAAUAACAUAAAGUUCUGGAAGCCAGGGAUGUGACUAAAGUUUCCAUUACGUUCCUUAGAAACUGCACAGUGCUAUGUAUGUAGUAUGUUUAAAUAUUUGCCCAGUGAGUUUUUAUUCAUAAAGUUUAUCGAUGGCAUAAAUGAGUAAAACCAAUAGUUUGAUCUGUUCAGAGUUAAAAAUGACAUGCUGGCUUGUGAGUAAAUCCCCAUUCUCUUACCAGCAAGCCGGAAUUGCAUCAAGACCAUUGAGUAUGCACUGAUUUAAAAGUUUUGCACAGGCCAGGCAUAGUGGCCCACGUCUGCAAUCCCAGUGCUUUGGGAGGCUAGGGGGAGUGGGUGGGCGGGGGCAGUGGGGGCAGGAUGGGAAGAUCUCUUAAGCUCAGAAGUUCAAACUCAGCAUAGGCAGCACAGCCAGACCCUGUCUCUACAGAAAUAUAACAAGAUUAGCCAGGCAUGGUGGUGCGCACCUGCCCACACUCCUUCAGGAGCAUCCAGAACAAAAUGCACACCUAAUGACAAGUCCCCAGCCCCUUAUGGCCUAUGAGCUCCUCAAUAGCCUGAUUUGUUUUCUACCCCAAGAGCCUAGCACCAAGCUGGUUUUUAACACGUUUCCAGAAUUAUUGUUUACACUUUUGUCACCAGUAAGUAAAGCUGUAUCUCAUUUUCAAAAUAAAGGUAGUUUCAGAAUAAACAUAAAUAAAAUAAUUUAAGUGCACCAGUGACUUUUAAAGGCAUCAUUCUGUAAAUCUAGUACUCAUUUUUAAAAUCACAUUAGUUCCCUCUACAAACGUAUCCUGCAAAUAAUUUGUCACUUCAAAAUAAGGCACAAGAAAACAUGCCUUUUCUUUUUGUUUUUCAUAACUCUUUAAGUAAUUUUAAGUUCAUUAUAAUUGCUUCUUCAUAAUUUUAGGUUCAUUCACUUUUUAAUAACUCAUCAGACAUCCCCUACAGAAAAAAAAAAUUUCUCUUUUCAUUUAUUAAUUCAGAGGUAGCCAAUAAAAAUGUUUCUGAAUAACUAUCUAUCUUCAUCACAACUGACAAACUAGUUAUUCUGUUCUCGUCAAACAGACUUACUUAUCUUGCACAAACUGGCUUUCACAAGAAGGCCUGAAUUAGAAGUGGACUAGUUUCACCUCACCUUGAUCACAUUUAUGUUGUUUUUAAUUUGCUCUCAUGAUACAUAAACUGCCUAAUGACUUUUUUUAAUCUUAAAAACAGGUAGUAAUAUGGAAUUUAAAGUAAUCACAUGCUUAACACCUUAGCCUCCAAAACACAAUGUCACAGAGACAUAAAUACACAGGAUUCUUUGUUAAAAAAUAUAUAUUCUUCAUUUAUCUCAAUAAUGUCCAUUUGCCUUCCACAUGCAAAACCUGAAACAUGAUUUUUUUAAAAAAACUUGCACUGCUGUUAAGUAUAGAUGAUACUGUUGACAGGAAUCAGAGAAUAUUCCACACCCAAAUACGCUACUUUGGCAUUAGGAUUACUUUGAGCUGAAGGCAGCUGAGACACAGCAGAUACAGGAAGAGUUCUCUGCCCUCUCCCUAACUGCCUAAGGCAGGACAUAAUUUCCCUGUGGAAAGGUCAUAUGAAUUUCCAUAUGUAAAGGUGUUUCCCUGUCCCUUAUUAGGAGACCAGAAACUGGCAAAAUAAACCUGCAUAGCAAACCUUAUUACCAUACAUUUCCUAGUCAUUUUCCCACAAUUUACCACCCCGGGAGCUGAAAUCCUCUUCUCCUUAGACUAGUCACUUCACAAUUUAUCAGCCUUUGUUAAAAAUCACAUACAAACCCAUUCUUUAGCCAAGCACAGAAGGGCACAACUACAGUCCCUGCUACUCAGGAAGCUCAAACAGAAGAAUCGCUUGAGUUCGGGAGUUUGAGUCCAGCCCUGGCAACACAGCAAGACCCCCGUCUCUUUAAAAUAAAGAUAAACAUAAAAAUAACCCCUCCUUCCCUGUGCAUGUAAAAACACUAACAUCAAUAAAAUGUGUAUGCCUCUACUCCUGUUAAUCUGUCUCUUAAUCUCUUAAUUCACAAGCCCUAGCUACCCUACGAGGGUAAAGGAACAGUCUGCUCUCCCCUAUACUGUAACAUGACAGCCACUAAGAGGUAGGUUCUAAAGUACUAGACUUGAAUUAAGCUUGAAUUAGAAUCCUCAUCCGUCACCUUAUGAUGAGAACUUGGGCAAAACAUCCAACCCCUCCAGACCUAUUUCUUUGCCUGUAAAA